UAGACUGGGUGCUGCCUUUUUAUUUAGCCGGGGAUCAAAACUCCUCUGAUGAAACAAUAGAGGUUGGGGAAUCCAGCUUUUUGCUUCUUAUCGCCCUGGCAUCUAAGCAGUUAGUACUAUCACAGGGCUGGUGGAAAUGGGAGUGGUUGUGUGCCUUCACCACACAAAUAAUACAACACUGCCCUGCAUUCUCUGCCCAGAAAGGGCCUAUUGUCCUGAACAGCCAGAGUCUCCUCUGCUGACGCUUCUCACUGACUGUGCAAGGCCAGACCCAGGAACUGGACGGCAUCAUGUCUUACAGCAGAUGAAAGACAUGGAGGGACCCCAAGCUUAGAAAAAAAUAAACCUCCAAACAACCUUGACAUUUUCAUCAG
ensembl:lincRNA Gm43020 predicted gene 43020